GGGAAUGUGGCUUAGUGGUACAGUGCUUGCCUAGCAUGCAUGAAGCCCUGGGUUCAAUUCUACAGUACUGCCA
rnacentral:tRNA from 1 species